GAUCAAAGUGUAGUAUCUGUUCUUAUCAGCUUAAUAUCUGAUACGAUGUCCAUUGGACAUCUUCGAUAUUAAACUGAUUUUUGUACCUGGGCGAAGUGUAAGGGGCUUGCUCCACCUUUGCCAUGGGUUGGCC
rnacentral:snRNA from 1 species